CCGUAGCCCAUUGACUGCUGUCUACUUAUUCUGAGACCACGCAGGCUGGUGCAACACAAACACAAUUUCAGCCUAUGGCACGCACACGUUAAAUACUACAAUGCGAGACGCCGACGUAAAGGUAUAAAUCAAAUUUACCCUAACAAUCCUAAGUUGCUCCCCGCGACGGCAGGCCCUCCACAUCAGCCGCAGGCCCACCUCAUCGUCCUUCGUCUCGGC
rnacentral:lncRNA from 1 species